rnacentral:rRNA from 1 species
CUACGGGGGGCUCCAGUGAGGAAUUUUGCGCAAUGGGGGAAACCCUGACGCAGCAACGCCGCGUGAGUGAAGAAGGCCUUCGGGUCGUAAAGCUCUGUCAAGUGGAAAAAACGACUUACGGUAAAUAGCCGUAAGUUCUGAUGGUACCACUAGAGGAAGCACCGGCUAACUCCGUGCCAGCAGCCGCGGUAAUACGGAGGGUGCAAGCGUUGUUCGGAAUUACUGGGCGUAAAGAGCGUGUAGGCGGUAUGGUAAGUCAGAUGUGAAAGCCCUGGGCUUAACCCAGGAAGUGCAUUUGAUACUGCUAUUCUUGAGUAUGGGAGAGGAGAGUGGAAUUCCCAGUGUAGAGGUGACAUUCGUAGAUAUUGGGAGGAACAUCCGUGGCGAAGGCGACUCUCUGGACCAAUACUGACGCUGAGACGCGAAAGCGUGGGGAGCAAACAGGAUUAGAUACCCCCGUAGUC